UACGAAGGGGGCUAGCGUUGUUCGGAAUUACUGGGCGUAAAGCGCGCGCAGGCGGUCUUCCAAGUCAGUGGUGAAAGCCCGGAGCUCAACUCCGGAAUUGCCAUUGAAACUGUUGGACUUGAGGAUGAGAGAGGUGAGUGGAAUUCCCAGUGUAGAGGUGAAAUUCGUAGAUAUUCGGAAGAACACCAGUGGCGAAGGCGACAGACUGGCUCAUUACUGACGCUGAGGCGCGAAAGCGUGGGGAGCAAACAGG
rnacentral:rRNA from 1 species